rnacentral:ncRNA from 1 species
AUAACGAUGCAGGACCUUUUGGUCUUUGCAAUUGGAAUGAGUACAAUUUAAAUCCCUUAACGAGGAACAAUUGGAGGGCAAGUCUGGUGCCAGCAGCCGCGGUAAUUCCAGCUCCAA